rnacentral:tRNA from 1 species
GGCAGGGUGGUGCAGUGGGUAGCGCUGUCGCCUCUCAGCAGGAAGGUUGCGGGUUUGAAUCUCGGCUCUGGCC